rnacentral:rRNA from 1 species
UACGGAGGGUGCGAGCGUUAUCCGGAUUUAUUGGGUUUAAAGGGUGCGCAGGUUGUUUGAUAAGUCAGUGGUGAAAGUCUGUCGCUUAACGGUAGGAUUGCCAUUGAUACUGUUGGACUUGAAUAUGGAUGAGGUAGGCGGAAUGUGUAGUGUAGCGGUGAAAUGCAUAGAUAUUACACAGAACACCGAUUGCGAAGGCAGCUUACUAAUCCAUCAUUGACGCUGAGGCACGAAAGCGUGGGGAUCAAACAGGA